rnacentral:lncRNA from 1 species
AUUUUCUUGUUUGCAAAGAGAAACGUUAGGUUUAUAGGAUUGCAAAAACCUUUAUAAAGAAAUGAGAUGAAGCACCUAAGUUAACAGUUAAGUCUUGAAGCUUGUUUCUGUCUUUAUUCUUUUAGGAAAAGUUCCAUAUCAUUUUACUUUUAUAAUAUCAAAUUUCAAAAGUCCUUUUGGUUAUGGCAAGUUUAGAAAUAAUGAGUCUCCAAUAUCCCUUCAGGUUGUUGUAUCUUGGAAGCCUGCUUUUUUCUGAAGGGAGAUAGAGGAAGACUAUAACACACUGCUGUAAUAAUGGAAGGCCUUAUGAGUGAGGACACUUGGAGGCAAUAUCAUGCAACAGGUGAAUUGACUGAUGAAUUUGGGUUUACACGACUGAAGGAUACUGUUAUAGAUGAAAAGUGUGAAAAUGUGUGAAGUUUGGAGAAGCACUCUGAGAUUUUCUUCUAAAAGAAAAAGAAGAGAAGAAACAAUCCAGAAAUGUAUGUGUAUGUUAUGGACAUCUGAAGAACUGUUUGUUCUGUUACUAUGUUUCAUCCCUCAAUUGUUGUGU